UACGUAGGGGCUAGCGUUAUCCGGAAUUACUGGGCGUAAAGGGUGCGUAGGUGGUUUCUUAAGUCAGAGGUGAAAGGCUACGGCUCAACCGUAGUAAGCCUUUGAAACUGGGAAACUUGAGUGCAGGAGAGGAGAGUAGAAUUCCUAGUGUAGCGGUGAAAUGCGUAGAUAUUAGGAGGAAUACCAGUUGCGAAGGCGGCUCUCUGGACUGUAACUGACACUGAGGCACGAAAGCGUGGGGAGCAAACAGGAUUAGAUACCCCGGUAGUCCCUGAGCGGGCU
rnacentral:rRNA from 1 species